rnacentral:rRNA from 1 species
AUUGAACGCUGGCGGCAUGCCUUACACAUGCAAGUCGAACGGUAACAGGUCUUCGGAUGCUGACGAGUGGCGAACGGGUGAGUAAUACAUCGGAACGUGCCUAGUAGUGGGGGAUAACUACUCGAAGGAGUGGCUAAUACCGCAUGAGAUCUACGGAUGAAAGCAGGGGAACGCAAGACCUUGCGCUACUAGAGCGGCCGAUGGCAGAUUAGGUAGUUGGUGGGAUAAAAGCUUACCAAGCCGACGAUCUGUAGCUGGUCUGAGAGGACGAUCAGCCACACUGGGACUGAGACACGGCCCAGACUCCUACGGGAGGCAGCAGUGGGGAAUUUUGGACAAUGGGCGCAAGCCUGAUCCAGCAAUGCCGCGUGCAGGAUGAAGGCCUUCGGGUUGUAAACUGCUUUUGUACGGAACGAAAAGCUCUGGGUUAGUACCCUGGAGUCAUGACGGUACCGUAAGAAUAAGCACCGGCUAACUACGUGCCAGCAGCCGCCGUAAAAC